rnacentral:lncRNA from 1 species
UUUCUUUGUCGCCGCUUGCUUCUCCUCUUCUCCUCUGCUUCUGCUUCCGUAUUCUGCUCCUACUUCUGCUUCUUCUUGUUGCGAAAAGCUGUUUUUGCUUCUAUUUGCUUAUCCUCCUACCCUUAUUCUGCUUAUGUUUGUUGCGCGAGUCACCACUGGUGUUAACUUACUUCACUAAACACAACAAUAAUCAAGGUAUGUACUGAUUAAUUUUUUUUUUUUUUUAACGAAAAUGGCUUUAUAAUUAUUUUAAAAUGUGUCUACUUGAUCAAUGAAGCAUGAUUUUGUACCCAGUUUGUUACCUAGCCUAUUCAGUCUUUUGCUUAAAAAUCCGUAUUGAGACUUUUUGCUGGGAACGGAGUGCAUGUAUUUGAGAGAGGAAAUGAUUAAAGUAGUUUCAGAAUGUCGACCAUUAAAGCAGUUUUCCAACUAGUUUAUAGCCAUUUCUCCCUCACUCUCCUCUCUCUCUCUCUUUCUCUGCUCAUAUUGUUCCAAUCUGAAUCAACUUUGCCUCUUCUAUUUGAGAGGGGAAAUGAUAUUUCUCCUGUUAGCUUGGUAUUCCAUGUCACUAUUGGAUAUUGUGGAUGUUGGGAAUUUUUUGUGAGGAUUUACACAUUUUAGUAUUUCACGAUAUUCACAUCUCAAAAAAAUAUGAAAGGUGUAACAAAUGCUCAGUAAAGUGGAAACAAAGAUGCUGAUAUGUGUGCAUGCAUGUGUAUAAUGAAUCAGUAUGCAUAAAAAAUUAAAGAGUUAUACAGAAGGGAGAAAGUUACUCCCUUGAUAUAUAGUUCAUAAACUUGACCAGAAAAGAAAAGGAAAAAAAAAAGAAAUAAGAAGAGCAGAGAAGCAGUAAUGAGAUGAUUUAAAAUUAGGGGUGGAAGUGGCGGUUGUUGCUGCUGGAAUCCUCAUUUUCUCUAUCAACCACAUCUUUAACCAAUUUAGGUGUUUAGCUCUACAAUUUAGGUGUAUUUAGCUCUACAAUAAGAAGCCGGAUGCAGAAAUUUGACCAGUAUAUCUAAGUUUGAUUGGUUCAUCACUUCCAAAAUCAAUUCAUCACUUCCACUAUCACUUCCAGCCCCACUCUCAAGUGGUUGAAACCAGUUCUCAAGCUUUAGCAAAUACACUCUUUAUGCUUUCAAGAUUCAUUUUGUCAGAUCUCCAAUUUGAACUCGUCACAUAUCAAGGCUAGUUGCUUUUAGAAAUAGAAAACAAAAAAAAAAAACAAUAAGUUUUGUAAUAAGUUGUGGAACUCGUUGUGCAGGAGUGAGGGCUAAUUGGCACACAAAGUCUGUAAAUCUUUAGUGCUUG